rnacentral:rRNA from 1 species
AUCUACGGCCAUGUCACCCUGAACAAGCCCAAUUCUGUCUGAUCUUGGAAGCUAAGCAGGGUCGGGCCUGGAUAGUACUUGGAUGGGAGACCACCUUGGAUAGGAAGACCAGGUGCUGUAAGCA